rnacentral:tRNA from 1 species
GCGCUCGUAGCUCAUUUGGAUAGAGUGCAGCCCUCCGAAGGCUGAGGUGGUGGGUUCGAAUCCCGCCGAGCGCACCA